CAUUCCUUCCUUUUUCCUUCUGAGUUAACAAUUAACCAGUAGAGUACGUUUCUCUCAGAUAAGAAGAAACUACAUCAUCCAAACCCGAAAAACUUCUUCCCUCCUCCCCAAAUUUCCCUUCCUUUUCCCUGCUGAGUCAACAGAGGUUUUCUAAAUUUAGAGAACAAAGGAUUGUAAACUCUCUGAGUCUGGCUGUCCCACAGUCUGGGGGCAGCAGUGCCAUGAUAUCUGGGGCAGGGGGUGGUCUCUAUGUUUAGAGGUAUGGUGAAGAAUGUGAACCCAGAUGGGGCAGGGACCUUGCUUUAGAUCUAGGAAAAAAGGGGGGACUUCACUGGAACAAAAUGCAGCACCCUGUAGGGGGCCUUCCUGCUUUGCACCAGACCUGGAGGUCCUGCCUCACUUUACCUCUUUCAUACAACCCAACCAUCUUGGCUCCACCUCUGGGACUCCUAAAGUAAUAAGGUAUAUGUUAAUUUCUGAUUUUUUUCCUGGUAUCAGAAAUGUUUAGGGUUAUCCUAUAGAACAUGAUAGCUGGUCAUUUUCCAACUUAAGGGGAUAACCCAGAAAGAAGGAAGAGAAAAAUAUGUGGUGGGAAGAGAGAAUGGCUGCUAUGGAAAGCUGUGGAACAUGUAGAUAUCUCUCACUCUGCUAGAUCAGGAAACUGUCAGGACAUAUGGUGUGAGAAAGCACAGUUCAGAAUUUUCUGAGGCCCAGCACUGGGAGGUCGUAAAAACUGUAUUCACAUUCACCUGAGAAUGGGCUGUCCCCUCUAGUGGGGCAGAGCAAUGUGCAGGCUUUCAGGACUGUUUUCAUAAAGGGGAUUUGCCCCGCCUCCCUCAGGGUUACAGUCUAUAUGCAGGUACUGGCUAGUCACUCAAAGUUAUUUCUUCCCAUGGGAAGUUUCUUUGAGAAGAACCCCCACCUGUGGACAUCAGUCUCUCAAGCACCUCUUUCUAUUCUUCCUGCUGAAUGUGAGUUCAACUCUCAGACGCUUAAGUUCCCCAGUUUCAAUCAACUUUGGGGGGGGGGCCCACAUUUCCCACAAUCCCUCCUCUUUGUUUUUGACCUUUGUCCUCUGCUGACAUCAUAUUUUUACUUUCAGUAACACACAACACCCCCCAGUGUCCAUCCAGUUAGGAAUUUCAUCAUGGAGCUUAUAUUCCUCUUUUAGCUGUCAGGUCUCUGGAACCACUUUCCUUGGGGCAGUUUGGAAGAUGUCAUGUCUCCAGGGCACUUCUCUGAGGAAACCCAAGGACCCAUGUGCUUUCUCCAUGACAUUUUUGGCACCCCAACAUUGCAGGGUACAGGGUCUUCCUCUCCUCUCCCCAUGCAGCACCUGAAGGCAGCAACAGCUCCCACCUGCUUUCCUUGUUCCCACUUUCCCAGCCCCCUCGUUGCCUGCCCCACCCACUCACUCCACCUAAGGACCAGGCCACCCCUUUGGCUCCUCUGGCUCCACAUGACCCUCCACAGGUGACUAUACCCCUCCCUUCAGCCCCUUAGCUCUCUACCACCCCCAAUCCACCAGCUACCUUGGUACUCAACCCUCUCAUCUGGCGCUGCAAAGGCUCACCCAAACCUCUGCAGAUAGCUGUAGCUAUACCACCAACCCCCACAUCCCCUCCCCCACCCGCUUCACCCAGGUUGCUACAAGUGCCUUCCACUGUUCCCCUGUUUCCAUUAUGGGAAGUUCCCAUGGGAGAUGGUACAGCUUGGGUGUAUGCUCCUUUCUCCAUGAGCGAUAUGUCUCAGAUUAAAGUAAAAUGGGGGCGUUACUGGGGGGAGUCCCACAAGGUUUCUAGAUGGCUUUAGGUCCGGGACAAUGCAGUUUGAAAUUUCUUGGACUGAUUUUCAAGUUAUCCUUGGUAGGUGUUGUACCCCUGAUGAGAAAAAGCAGAUUUUGGAUCUGGCUAUACAAGCAGGCGAUGAACAGGCACAGGCUGGGAGUUGGGUGGGGGUUCCUGGGACAACAGCAGUUCCAUCUGAGGACCCAAGAUGAUAGGGAUAUCAUGAUACGGAGGACAGGGCUAGUAGAGACCACAUGAUCACUUGUCUCAUUUGAGGGUAUAAGAGGGGGGUUCGAGAAACAGGCUAAUUAUGAGAAAGUAAAAGAGAUCACACAGGACCCUGAGGAAAAUCCUGCUCUUUUCAUGAGUCGCCUUGUGGACUCUAUGAAAAAAUACAGUACUCUGGACCCAGAAAAGGAAGUAGAAAUUACUGUCCUCA